rnacentral:lncRNA from 1 species
CCACACAUUUAGUGGGAAAAUGGAGGAAAAAUAACUGCUAUUCAAAUUUCGCAAUCUGGUUUCUCCCCACCAGGCGCUGCCAAAUCCGCUGAAACGGUAGUUUUAAGUUCUUCAACUGCAUUUCUCUGAAUUACACUCGUGCGUACUUCGCAAAUUGAGCGCUGCAGUGAGAUAAAUUGUGAAAUUAAAACGAAGUUCUGUUUGUGUUGCCACCUUUGAUAUUUCAAUAAUCUUAGGAGAUGUUGAAUGUUUCACAUUUGAGUAGAAAACGUGACUGAAGUGCUGCCAAGCUGCCUCUGAGCUAAAAUAAAGAAAGAAAGAAAGAAAGAAGUGAGUCCCCUUCUUACCCCUGAGUUUAGGGUCAUAAACGGACUGGAAAGGAAUAAUCUUUUAUGAGGCCAGCAGAACAAAUCCCAGCGAUAACAGGAUUGGUGGGGAAACGACUGGUUUAAGGCUGCCUCAGCUCACUGCCAGCCAAAAAGCAAAUUGUAUAUUGCUGUAUAUGUUUACGUGCAUUGUUUUGUGGGCUAUAGAAAUAUACACUGGUAGCGUACACCUCACUAUCAUCAACAACAACAACGAUCGUAACAAUAAUAAUAUAUUUUAUGCAUGUGUCAUGCGCACCUUCUCAUGAUUAAAUUGUUCCUGUGUGUGCAUAUACAUCUUUAUGACUCAGUGGCUCUCUGGUUUCCAGUCCAUCCACUAAAU